CCUACGGGAGGCAGCAGUGAGGAAUAUUGGUCAAUGGGCGCGAGUCUGAACCAGCCAAGUCGCGUGAGGGAUGACUGUCCUAUGGAUUGUAAACCUCUUUUGUCGGGGAGUAAAAGGCGCCACGCGUGGCGUUUCGAGAGUACCCGAAGAAUAAGCAUCGGCUAACUCCGUGCCAGCAGCCGCGGUAAUACGGAGGAUGCGAGCGUUAUCCGGAUUUAUUGGGGUUAAAGGGUGCGUAGGCGGCUUUUUAAGUCAGCGGUGAAAGUUUGUGGCUCAACCAUAGAAUUGCCGGUGAAACUGGCGGUCUUGAGUAUAUUAGAGGAAGGCGGAAUGCGUGGUGUAGCGGUGAAAUGCUUAGAUAUCACGCAGAACCCCGAUUGCGAAGGCAGCCUGCCAAGCCAUGACUGACGCUGAUGCACGAAAGCGUGGGGAUCAAACAGGAUUAGAUACCCUAGUAGUC
rnacentral:rRNA from 1 species